rnacentral:rRNA from 1 species
GAUUAACGCUGGCGGCGUGCAUAACACAUGCAAGUCGAACGAAGUGGCGGACGGGUGAGUAACGCGUGAGUAACCUGCCUUAGAGAAGGGGAUAGCCUUUGGAAACGAAGAAUAAUAACCUAAGCUCUAAGAUGGACUUGCGUCUGAUUAGUUAGUUGGUGGGGUAACGGCCCACCAAGACAGCUAUCAGUAGCCGGCUUUGGGAAAUGUACGGCCACAUUGGGACUGGGACACGGCCCAGACUCUACGGGAGGCAGCAGUGGGGAAUUUUGCACGAUGAGGGAAACCCUGAUGCAGCGGCGCCGCGUGAUUUAGAAGGCCUUCGGGUUGUAAAAAUCUUUUCUAUGGGAAGCAGUACCAUAGGAAUAAGGACCGGCUAAUUACGUGCCAGCAGCCGCGGUAAUAC